UAUCACGACAACUGUCCAGUAAGCCCUGAG
rnacentral:piRNA from 1 species